CCGCCCCUGUAUUCCCCUCCUUCGCUGGCAGGUGGAGAUGACGGGCAGCAGCGUCUUCGACUACAUCCACCCAGGGGACCACUCGGAGGUGCUGGAGCUACUGGGACUGUGGGCACUGACCCCCGGUCCCCCAACCCCGCCCUCCAUCUCCUCCACUUCCUCCUCCUCCUCUUCCUCUUUGCUUGCGGAUACCCCCGAAAUCGAGGCCAGCCUCACCAAGGUGCCCCCCUCCUCCAUGGUCCAGGAGCACUCCUUCUUUGUCCACAUGAAAUCCACGCUCACCAAGAGGGGGCUGCACGUCAAGGCCUCGGGGUACAAGGUCAUCCACGUGACUGGGCCCCUUUGGGCCCACGCCCUGGGCCUUGUGGCCCUUGGGCACACGUUGCCCGCCGCUCCCCUGGCUGAGCUGCCACUCCAUAGACACAUGAUCGUCUUCCGUCUCCACCUGGGUCUCACCAUCCUUGCUUGUGAGAGCAGAGUCAGCGACCACAUGGACCUGGGGCCCUCAGAGCUGGUGGGCCGCAGCUGUUACCAGUUCGCUCACGGACAGGUUGCCACCAGGAUCUGCCAGAGCCAUGUGGACUUGCUGGACAAGGGUCAGGUGAUGACUGGUUACUACCGUUGGCUACAGCGCACUGGGGGCUUCGUGUGGCUGCAGUCUGUGGCCACGGUGGCUGGCAGCGGGAAGAGCCCCAGGGAGCACCAUGUGCUUUGGGUCAGCCUUGUGCUCAGCCAAGCUGAGGGUGGCCAAACUCCUUUGGAUGCUUUCCAGCUUCCAGCCAGUAUGACCUGCGAGGACUCAUCCAGCCCGGGACGAGAGCCCACAGAGCCGGAGACUCCCGCAGAAGGGAACUAGACUGCCUCGCUGGAGAAGGAGGCCCCACAGAUGCAGGGCAAACGCAUCAAAGUGGAGCCCGUCCCGAGGGAAACCAAAGGCUCAGAGGACAGUGGCGACGAGGAUCCCUCUGGCCACCCGGCCCCACCGCGGCCCAAGUUCACCUCUCUCAUCCGGGCGGGGGCCCUGAAGCAGGACCCAGUGCGGCCGUGGGGCCUGGCACCUCCCAUGGAACCCCCCCGCCCGCCCUCCUGCAUGCGGGCUUCCUGACCCUUGUCCUGCAUGUGACAUUCGCUAUGGCCCUGUGGAGCUGGGCCUGGUGUACCCGCAUCUGCAGAGGCUGGGCCCAGGCCCUGCGCUCCCAGAGGCCUUUUACUCGCCCCAGGGUCUGCAGGCACCAGGACGCCACAGAAGGGGGACUGAGGACUGGCAGAGCCGCCGGCGUUGGAUCUUUCGAAGGCUGGGGGCCCCUCCGGGACAGCGGCCCUGCUCUGCCCUUAGCCCUGAGAAUUAAAGUCCGGCUCCCCCUGCAGUAGUUUGGGCUCCAAAACAAAACAAAACAAAACAAACAAACAAACAAAAAACUCAUGGCUCCAAUUUGCUCGUGGAUGCACCCACUCCCACGUUUUUUGUACUUAAAAGCCACAUUACAAGCUGCCAUCCAUCCCCUCCCCGUUUCUGUGGACCUUGGGACCUUUUUUUUUUUUGGCAAGAUUUGAGUAGUUUAAUGAGUUUUACUUAUUAGAGGUAAAACUCACAUGUUUUACCUCUAAUAAGUAAAUUGUAUCUAAUUUUUUUCAAUAAAGAUGUUUUCAAUACCCAUUUUUAGAAUAAAGCAACAUUCCCGUUCUCUCUCCCUCUUUCUCCUCUUUCUUCCUCUUCAUUCAAAAAAAAAAAAAAAAACUUCAGAUAACCACCCUAGCUCUUUACUCCUCUUUGUUACUGUUAUGCAACAGAGAUACAUUUUGUUUUUUGUUUUAGUUAUAAAAAUGAGAUAAACUUGAAUAUGAA